UAGGGAAUCUUCCGCAAUGGACGCAAGUCUGACGGAGCAACGCCGCGUGAGUGAAGAAGGAUUUCGGUUCGUAAAACUCUGUUGUUAGAGAAGAACAGCGCAUAGAGUAACUGUUAUGCGUGUGACGGUAUCUAACCAGAAAGCCACGGCUAACUACGUGCCAGCAGCCGCGGUAAUACGUAGGUGGCAAGCGUUGUCCGGAUUUAUUGGGCGUAAAGCGAGCGCAGGCGGUCAAUUAAGUCUGAUGUGAAAGCCCCCGGCUCAACCGGGGAGGGUCAUUAGAAACUGGUUGACUUGAGUGCAGAAGAGGAGAGUGGAAUUCCAUGUGUGGCGGUGAAAUGCGUAGCUAUAUGGAGGAACACCAGUGGCGAAGGCGACUCUCUGGUCUGUAACUGACGCUGAGGCUCGAAAGCGUGGGUAGCAAACAGG
rnacentral:rRNA from 1 species